GGAGCUGCCCCGCCGCCCUCCUUCCUGCUCCGAGGGCGCGGGACAGGAGCGCGCGCGGGGCGCCGUGGCUCCUGCUGCGGGCCCCGCCUGCCCGGGCAGCGGACCGCGUGUGUUCCGGCGAGCCGAGAAGCGCGGUCACGUUAGCCGGGGUCUCCGUUGUGAGCGGCGCCGUGCGGGGCUGGCGGCAGCGCGGCGCCUCCGGGGGUGCGGGCGGGGCUCACCUGCGGCCUCUGAAGGGCCUGCCCGCCUGUCACGCCUGCCUGAGCUCUGCAAACCUGGGAGCGGUCCCGAGCGGGCGAUGGCAGGGAGGGAGCGUGAAAGCCCGGCUCGGCCUCUCUCUCUGAGUGCACCCCGAAAUGGAAGCCUUUGUCGUGGGUCCAAGCAAGCAGGGAAAUCGAGAAGCAGCAGCGACUGAACCCAAACCCCUUUUCAGGAACUUACAAAGUAAACGCGCUGCUCGAUCUGAUUGAAAAGUGGAGCAGUGCAGCAAACCCCGAGGGCUCAAAAAUCACGAGUCAGACCGUCAAGUAAAUGAGAUUAUAAUAAAAGAUUAUAUUGUGAUUUUGUCUGUCGGUUGGAUUUUGAUUUCUUCUUGCCUAGUCCUUCCAUGCCUGCUUGCCAACUGAUACAUCUCGUCAAAAAUUUAUGGACUAAAAUAUUGUGGUGCUACUGUGAGAGACUUCACUUCCCCAAAGCAUGUUCAUUAUCCCCAGCUUCUCAUGUACUUCCUCAGUUUUUCACAGCUGCUCUUGCAAGAGCCUUCUCUGUCAACUUUGAUCCUAUUUUGCUUUUUCCUGUAACUGGGACUUUUUUCCCCUGACUCUGGUGAUGUCACAGGCGCAGUGGUGAGCUGUUCUCUCUUCCUGUUUGAAGAAGAUGGGGUGAGCUCCCUUGGCAAUAGUAACUAGUCUAAUUCCCACACUACUGUUAGUUGGUUGCUUUUCCCAAGGAAGGGAGAUACUGGAACAUGGGAAAUCAGGAGGAAUUUCCAUCAUUUCAAGGGAACAUGGAAUGUCUCACGUCAUCAGAGGCCAGACUACAAACUUGCAUCAUCUGUUUGAAUACACAGAAGCAGGAUGGUAGUGUGCUUAUCAAGGGUGUUUUUUAAGAAAAUUCUUCCUUUUCACCUGAGGUUAAAAGUACAGUUUGUCUAUGGGUCUUAAUGAUGUCCAAAGAUUUUUCUUGAAAAUGUUUUUUAUGUGAUUGAAAGCUAUGAGGAAAUCUUGCAGUGACGAAAAAGCGUAUGUAUUUUCAGACAGGUUUUUGUUUUGAGGGGUUAAAGCAUUUUAAACAUCUAUUUUUAUCUGCUAUAGCAGGCAAGAAAUGGAAUAUUUAGCUUCUAGACAGUAUGUUUGCUGUAGUAUUUCUUAUUAAUUGAAAUUCCAUGUGUCUCUUAAAGAGUUCUACCAUAAAAAUAAUGGAACAAUUAAAAUAAACUAUCACUCUCGCUCUGGUAAAGGCCUUGUAACAUGUUUCAAGCAGCUCACGUGUCAAACCUACAAUAAUAAAGCUCGCUUCCUUAUGGGAGGAUUUUAGAGGAAAAUUUCCAAUUGUUUUGUAAAAUACUUUUUUUCUAAAGGAGUACACUCAAAGUGGUUCAGUUAUUCAUGGCACAACCACAUCCAGAUACUAAAAAUACAUUACAAACCAUUUUUGUACAAUUUUGGAGUUCAUAUUAAUCAAAUUGAGUAUUUGAUAGGACAAUGCUCAGGUCUUUUGAAACUCAACUGGAGACAUGGUAUUAUUCUACUUAGCAAUGAGAAUCCUUUCAGAGAACUUCCUGUCUUGUGGCUGGCACAUAAUGACACUUCCUCUAGUAUAAUUCUCAUUUUCUACUUGUUUCAAAGCUGAAAUAUUUAACAUUCUGUAAGCUAAUGGUUUAAUUAAGAUAAUUGGAUUAAUAUGAUCUUGUACAAGAAUGUUAAAGAAUUAGCUCAGUUUGUCAGAUGGUGGUAUAGCUCUAUUCACUGCACUUGAAGAGACCGUUUGGUAAGAUAGACCGUUAAUCUGGAUGUUGGUUUUCUUUUAAAAUUCCUUAAAUAUAUUUAAUGUAAAAAUUAUUUUCAUCAUGGCAAUUCAGUAAAAUGAACUGUUUUGUAAUAUACCACAAAGAAUUUGAAAUCAUUAAGGACUCUUUCAGGUUUUCAUUAAUGUGUUUAUUAAUAAUUAAAUGUAUGUUCAGUUGUCAACUGAAAA